UACUGCUCAGUAACACGUGGAUAACCUGCCCUAAGGUGGAGGAUAACCCCAGGAAACUGGGAAUAAUACUCCAUAGGAUAUGGAUACUGGAAUGUUUCAUAUCCAAAAGUUCCGGCGCCUUAGGAUGGAUCUGCGGCCGAUUAGGUUGUUGUUGGGGUAACGGCCCAACAAGCCCAUAAUCGGUACGGGUUGUGGGAGCAAGAGCCCGGAGAUGGACUCUGAGACACGAGUCCAGGCCCUACGGGGGGCAGCAGGCGCGAAAACUUUACAAUGCAGGAAACUGUGAUAAGGGAACCCCGAGUGCCCGUAUACGCGGGCUGUUCGGAUGUGUAAAAAGCAUCCAGAGAAAGGGCCGGGCAAGACCGGUGCCAGCCGCCGCGGUAAUACCGGCGGCUCGAGUGGUGACCACUUUUAUUGGGCUUAAAGCGUCCGUAGCUGGAUUGUUAAGUCUCUUGGGAAAUCCGCCGGCUUAACCGGCGGGCGUCUAAGGGAUACUGGCAAUCUAGGGACCGGGAGAGGUGAGAGGUACUCCGGGGGUAGGAGUGAAAUCCUGUAAUCCCCGGGGGACCACCUGUGGCGAAGGCGUCUCACCAGAACGGCUCCGACAGUGAGGGACGAAAGCUGGGGGAGCGAACCGGAUUAGAUACCUGGGUAGUCCCAGCCGUAAACGAUGCGCGUUAGGUGUACUGGCGACCACGAGUCGCUGGGGUGCCGAAGGGAAACCGUGAAACGUGCCGCCUGGGAAGUACGGUCGCAAGGCUGAAACUUAAAGGAAUUGGCGGGGAGCAC
rnacentral:rRNA from 1 species